rnacentral:rRNA from 1 species
UGGGGAAUAUUGCACAAUGGGCGAAAGCCUGAUGCAGCGACGCCGCGUGAGGGAUGACGGCCUUCGGGUUGUAAACCUCUUUCAGCAGGGAAGAAGCGAAAGUGACGGUACCUGCAGAAGAAGCGCCGGCUAACUACGUGCCAGCAGCCGCGGUAAUACGUAGGGCGCAAGCGUUGUCCGGAAUUAUUGGGCGUAAAGAGCUCGUAGGCGGUUAGUCGCGUCUGCUGUGAAAACUCGAGGCUCAACCUCGGGUCUGCAGUGGGUACGGGCAGACUAGAGUGCGGUAGGGGAGAUGAGUUCCUGGUGUAGCGGUGGAAUGCGCAGAUAUCAGGAGGAACACCGAUGGCGAAGGCAGAUCUCUGGCCGGUCAACAUGACGCUGAGGAGCGAAAGGUGGGGAGCAAACAGGCUUAGAUACCCUGGUAGUCCACCCGUAAACGUU